UACGUAGGGGGCUAGCGUUGUCCGGAAUCAUUGGGCGUAAAGCGCGUGUAGGCGGCCCGGUAAGUCCGCUGUGAAAGUCGGGGGCUCAACCCUCGAAUGCCGGUGGAUACUGUCGGGCUCGAGUGCGGAAGAGGCGAGUGGAAUUCCUGGUGUAGCGGUGAAAUGCGCAGAUAUCAGGAGGAACACCAAUGGCGAAGGCAGCUCGCUGGGACGGUACUGACACUGAGACGCGAAAGCGUGGGGAGCAAACAGG
rnacentral:rRNA from 1 species